rnacentral:lncRNA from 1 species
UGUAUUCAUCAAACUAAUUAAUGAAAAUUUUAGUAUAUAUGAUCAGAACAAAUAUCUAGUGACUGCUUCAAAUCGAUUCUAAUUAUCAGUUGUAUUAGGAGUACUUCUCUAAAGAUUGCUAUUGAACUUUGGGACGACAAAAAUCUCCAAUUUAUCUACCUGAAAUCUAGUUUUAACAAAGGAUAAGUUUAGUCAAGAAUAAGCAAACAACAAACAUCGAUAAGGAUGCAUAAGAAAAACUCAACUAUGGUACCCCUAGGGAUAAAUACCCUAUUAGUUUUCAGUUGUGGGCUUCACGUUCUCAUCAC